rnacentral:lncRNA from 1 species
GUUACCUGAGUUGCGCUGAGCGCGCGUAUCCCUGGAAAUAGCGGAGGCGCGCGAACAGGUAGAACAGUCCGCACAGGGCUGCGGCUCCUGCGAGAGUCGAUGCAAGGCGACGCGGUGAGCACGAGCUCCCGCCAUCCGGGAUCACCCCCACCCCCGAAGUGUGCCCCCACGCUGCCCCGCACCUUCGUGGAAGAAGAUGCCGGCGACCCAGAGUGUGGCGAGGAACAGCGGAAAGUACUCGCUGCAGUUUACCCUGCGAGGGGUAGGCUGGGUGAGCGCGUGGUUCACCUUGGCUGACACCCGAACCCGCCCGGACCCGCCGCGCUCACUGGGCUCGGAAGACGCGCUCGAACUCGGGAGGGCCAGAGUACCCCCUUCAUGGAUCAAGAGAAGAUACUGAGCAUCAUAACCGCCUCAGAGAGCUGCUCCAGCUGUACAAGGUAGCCACUGGGGAAGAACUGCCCUUAUUCAUCGACAGACCAAAAGUACUGUCCAGGAAAGGACACAGGAUGUGGGAUAGUCGACAGCUUAGCUCUGCCAAGAAAGGCUCUCUGCAAAGCUUUACACUUGGGCUGUCAAGAUGGCUCAGCCAGUCUUCCACCACACCUGAUGGCAUGAUUAUAAUCCCGGGACUCACUUGGGGAAGCCAACUCCAGCAUGUUAUCUUCUAGUCUCCACAGGCAUGCUGUGGCAUACAUCUACUAACCGACAUCCACAUAUUUUUUAAAAAUGUAGUGAGAAAAAUUCAAAGUUGUGCUAUCCAAGUUGAAAUCCUACAUCAUCAAGGCCUCUUUCCCCCUCUAAAGGAGCCACUGAAAUGGAAACCCCUCUGCUUCCUUGGAGAGGCCUCUCUUGUAGGCCCAACCCCGGGUUGAACAGCUCAGCUAGCAUCACGUCAGUGAAAAGGCCCUUCCUCUGUAGAGAAAGCUGAAGUCUCAACUCACAAGACCCUCACAUCAAGCUCUAAUAUGGUAACAUCAACCUGACAUGGCAAAUCUAUCUGCUCAGGGUUUCACAUUCAAAGGACUUACUGACAAGUCAGACUCAAGUCGCUUUUUAAAGCUAAGCUUGGUGGUGUUCAUCUUUAAUCUCAGCACUUGGGAAGGAGGAACAAGCGGAUCUCUGAAUUUGAGGCCAGCCUGGUCUACAGAGCAAGUUCCAGAACAGCCAGGACGACACACACACACAAACAUGGUGUGCCCACCAAAAAUAAAUAAAUAAAAGUUUUUAUUUUU